ensembl:snRNA U6 U6 spliceosomal RNA
AUGGUCAGCUCAGCAACACAUACAGGAAAACUGGAGCAAUACAAAGAUUAGCAUGGCCCCGCACAAGGAUGACAUGCAAAUUCAUGAAGCGUUCCAUAUUAAA